rnacentral:tRNA from 1 species
GGAGCUGUGGUGUUUAAUAGUCAGCACAGCGGACUUUUAAUCCGCACGGUGCGGGUGCAACUCCCGCCGGCUCCACCA